UACGUAGGGCGCAAGCGUUGUCCGGAAUUAUUGGGCGUAAAGAGCUCGUAGGUGGCUUGUCACGUCGGGUGUGAAAGCUUGGGGCUUAACCCCAGGUCUGCAUUCGAUACGGGCUGGCUAGAGGUAGGUAGGGGAGAACGGAAUUCCUGGUGUAGCGGUGAAAUGCGCAGAUAUCAGGAGGAACACCGGUGGCGAAGGCGGUUCUCUGGGCCUUACCUGACGCUGAGGAGCGAAAGCGUGGGGAGCGAACAGG
rnacentral:rRNA from 1 species